rnacentral:misc_RNA from 1 species
GCAAAGCUGCAGAAGUGAGAGGACACUCAUUUUGGGCUAAAGGUCCAGAUAAUGCAAGUUCUUAUAAUUCUGCACCACAUGAGACAAGGUUUUUCUGUGAUGGAGGUGAUUAUGAUAGCUACUAUGGUAGAUUCUUUCUGAAUUGGUAUUCUCGAGUUUUAAUUGAUCAUGGUGAUCGUGUACUUGCUCUGGCCAAUUUAGCUUUUGAAGGCACUUGCAUUUCUGCAAAGAUAUCAGGUAUUCAUUGGUG